rnacentral:ncRNA from 2 species
UAAUGUCUUCAGGGCAGGGUGAAAUUCCCGAUCGGCGGUAAAGUCCGCGAGCGCGAAAGCGCUGAUUUGGCGCGAUUCCAAAACCGACAGUAUAGUCUGGAUUUGAAGAAGGUGUGU